AUCAUUUACCAAACGAAACGAAAUUUAUACAGUUAAUAAAAUUAAUAUUAUUGUAAAAUAUUUUAAUAAUAUGAAUUCAAAAAUUGUUGUAAUAAUUUUUUUAAGUCUUUGUUUUGUACCUAAUUUUUCCGAAUCCAGCAGCUCCAGAGAUAAUAUUAUGAAUCCAACUAUUCCGAAUAUAUCUGAGAUAGAAGAAAUAGAAGAACAUAGCAGCUAUGUAGACAAUAUUAAAAACACAAAUUAUUCGAUCUUAUAAAGUAUUGUGUGGACUAUAAUAUUGCUAUAGGAAAUCAUGCUGAUUCCAUGCUAUGUCAUCGAGUGAAAAUGUAAAUGUUGCAGAGAGAAUGCAGGCGGGCCCUAGUGUAAUUAGUCCUAAACGUCGCAAACAAUAUAACACUGACAAUACGAUUAAAUGUAAACGGGUAAAGGUGAAACGAUAACAUGACAUUGCGACGAAAGGUUUUCAUAAAACGGGUGAAUCAUUAAAUAGUCAAAUUUUAUGGUUUUACAAAAAGAAUGUUGAUAAUAUAGCCGGGUAUCAAUCGUUUUAGUCCCCAACAAGAGACGAUUUAGUUGAAAAAUUAUGCGACUGUCUUAAUGAAAUGGGGCCGAUAAAAUUCAACCUUAAACUCGAGGCGACUUAUAAGGUUCUGAAUAAUGAAACCAAGUACGAAAAUUGGUCAUUUAAUACGUCGGCAGUCGAGAUACUUAACGAGGACAAUAUCGAUCAUGCUGUGAAUAUGUCAUAUACAAAAUUAUUAGAAGAACUAGAAAAAUAUGCUGGUAAAAGUUGUAAUUUCUCGUUUUCUAAUAUAGACAGUAUUUUACUGGGAGUGCAAAUAUCAGCCUUUGGGUGGUUCUUUUUAUAUUGAUUUGCCGCAUGACAUUAAAAUAAGAAGUGCUGUAAUUUAACCACAAUAUAUAGAUCAACAAUGUUUCAAAUAGGCUGUAUUACCAAGAAAAGUGACUGGUGAUAACAAAUAUAUAGUCAGUCAUAACUACAAGUCAUAAGAAAACUCUUAUGAUUUUUCCGGUUUAUUAUUACCAACACCAAUUGCAGACAUAAACAUUUUCGAAAAAAAUAAUACGUAUACUUCAGUUAAUGUUCACGGAUUGAAAUUGAAAUAUUCACAUAAUAAACACGAAUAUUUAGUUUAUCCGCUGAAUAACGUAAAGAUCAUAUCGAUUUGCUAAUUGUGUCAAACGCCUCGGGUGACAGUCAUUACGCUUAUAUCACUGAUUUUGAAAGCCUGUUGAUCAAAUCCAACAAAGAUACGAAAGACAACACAAAUUAUAUGCAUAAUCAUGUUGCAAUGAGCUAUGGAUACAUAAUAAAAACGGUCGACAGUAUACCCAUAGAAUUAUUGAAACAGUUUAAUAUUCAAAGGACGCCUCAAAUAUAUAGAGGUAAUAAAAGCAGUAAGGAAGUAAUCAAUCGUUUUAUGGAUGAUGUAACUUAAGUGGCGUUGAAAAUUGAAAAGUUGCUCAAGACGAAUGUUGAUAUUUGUAUGAACAUGAAAAAACUGAAGAACACAUAGAGUAAACUUGCUGUAACUUGUGUAAAGGUGGUUUACAGAGAAAAAUUAUAAAGUAGCAGACAAUGAUCAUUUGACAGGAAUCAAGUAACACCAGUGCAUAUAAGAAAACCCUAUCUUUUCCGGAUCGUUGUUACUUACCAAUAAUUGAACUAUAUCCGAAUUUAACUUCCGAUUAUAUAGAGGAAUGUAAAAAAAUAAAUGAUGGCCAUAAGGGUUAUGAUUCAAAUUUUUUGAUAGAUUUAUUAAAAAAGCAUUCAGAGGUUAACAAUAUAUUACACGAAAAUGUUCUUCUACAAAUUAAUAAAGAAAAAGAUCAAUUAUUCUGUAUAAAUGAUAUUUAUAAAUAUAUAAAUCUUCACAUUCAAGAAAAAAAAUCUUCUUCUACCUCAUCUUCUACAUCAUCUUCUACUUUUUCUUUAUCAAAAUUAUUUUCAUGCAGCAGUUCAAAAAACACAAUAGAUUAAAAACUAUUAUUAAGACAGCAAGUAACUCAAAGCGACACCAUGGAAUAUUAUGAAUUAUAAAUUAAUUUUAGUUGUUACAAUUAUAUUACAAGAUUAAUUAAACUAAAUAUAAAAUAUUGUACUUAUAAUUAAAAAAUGAUACAUUAUAGUUUUGU